rnacentral:rRNA from 1 species
UACAGAGGGUGCAAGCGUUAAUCGGAAUUACUGGGCGUAAAGCGCGCGUAGGCGGCUGUCUAAGUCGGGUGUGAAAGCCCCGGGCUCAACCUGGGAACUGCAUUCGAUACUGGACGGCUAGAGUAUGAGAGAGGGAGGUAGAAUUCCACGUGUAGCGGUGAAAUGCGUAGAUAUGUGGAGGAACACCGGUGGCGAAGGCGGCUUCCUGGACCGACACUGACGCUGAGGCGCGAAAGCUAGGGGAGCAAACGGG